rnacentral:lncRNA from 1 species
AGAUAAUCUAGGAUAAUCCCCUCAUCUCAAGAUCCUUAAUUUAAUUACAUGUGCAAAGUCCAUUAUGUCAUAUAAUAUUCACAGGUUACAGGGGUUAUAAAGGGGUAUAUUUUGGGGGCCACUAUUUAGCUUACCACCAAGGAAGCAAGCUCCAAAAGUUUGGAAGAAACACAGUUCAGAUCCCUGGUCCACAUGAAAGAAGUGUCAGAUUAGGAGCCUUGGCAGCGUCCCCAGGCCAGGGUCUUUCUUUAACUGUAACUGCUUGCUAUUUAAAUAGGCAGCAGGCCAGGCAUGGUGGCUCAUGACUGUAAUACUAGCACUUUGGGAGGCCGAGGCAAGUGGAUCACUAGAGGUCAGGAGUUUGAGACCAGCCUGGCCAAGAUAGUGAAAUCCCGUCUCUACUAAAAAUACAAAAAUUAGCUGGGUGAGGUGGCGCAUGCCUGUAAUCCCAGCUACUUGGAAGGCUGAGGUAGGAGAAUUGCUUGAACCCGGGAGGCGGAGGUUGCAGUGAGCCAAGAUCACACCACUGCGCUCCAGCCUGGGGCACAGAGUGAGACUGUCUUAAAAAAAAAAAAAAAAAAGUAGGCAGUGGAGAGUUAAUUUUACGGAACUGAGCAUUCUGGCCCUUGGAGGAUGUCCUUGAAAGGGAAGGGCAGUUUUCUCUUCUCCAGUCUGAAGCCCCCAACGGAGUGCUGAGCACUACAUACCAGGAUGUGCGUGCUGAGGGUCAAGGGGAAUCCAUCAGGAUCUCUGCACUUUCCUAAAGGCUUUUACACAGGAGAGGGGGCUGCAAAGAAAUGGUCUGGACCACAUGAACAAGCUCUAGAUCAGGAUGGCAGAAGUGCCGCCUCUCAUGAGUGCAGCUUGGGGUGGAGGGUUCUGAGAACCCAUCUGGGCUUGGAGAGGAAAACUGAUGUGGUCAGAGUGCCAUGACCACCAGGUCAAACACUAGGAAUGGGCAGGUCAAUGGCAAUCUACACACUGUGACCAACCCUAGUCUACAUGGCACCUCUGGAUGC